rnacentral:lncRNA from 1 species
UUGGAUGUAGUAAGACUUGUUCUCAAGUAAAGGUAAUAGAAAAGAGGUGUACAAGAAUAGGUACAAGAGAAGAAGCUGUACGAGAAUAGGUACAAGAGAAUAAGCUGUACAUGAAUAAGUAUACGAGAACAAGAUAAGAGGGUGAAACACUUGUACUUCAGGAAAGGGUUAAGAGGAACACCUCUUAACUACCUUCAUAUCUGAGCCACCAAGCCAAACUCUCUGAAACAUCCCAAGAUGAAAGUAACCCAUGAACUCUGUCACUUAUUCUGAGCUACUUUCACUGUCAUCCAAGUGAAGCGGUUAUUCUAUUCAAAAUGGUUGUUCUACUUGUAUUAGUUGUUCCAUAUGGAGUAAUACUUUACUUUUUCUAAUUGUUCUACUUUAAGUAGUACUUGAAGUAGCGCUUCACUUAUUCUGCGUGAAGUAGCGCUUCACUUGUUCUGCAUUAUAAAAGAAAAUCACAAAGCAAGAAUAUUUAUGUUACCCUGGCUUUGUUUCAAUCCUUUAUUACUCUGGUUCGUUGUAAGGUAGGUGUGGUUUCUGUUUGUUUGUUUUUUUUUUUUACAAAUUGGAGUAAUAGGCUUCUUGAUUUAUUUAUUUUUUAGUAUUAUUUAUUGUUUUAUUUUGGCAUAUAGUGUUUAAUAGAAAAGAGAAAUAUUAGAAUAAAGAAAGCAAGAAAAGGAAUAAAGUGAACGGCAUGUCAGCUAGAGGGAGAAAUACCAAAAUAAAGAAACAAACUAGUAAAUGCAUAAAAAACUGGCAAAAGCUGAAUGUCUUCCUUUUUUUUUUNGACUUAAUUAGUUGAAUUUUUCUUACUUAUUGCCCCCUACAUGAAUUUUUUUUAAUUAAAAUAUGAGAAAAAAUUUAUGCAUGAAAUAUUUUAAUUAUAGAAGAAAAUCACAAAGCAAGAAUAUUUAUGUUACUCUAACUUUGUUUCAAUCCUUUAUUUACUUGGCUCGUUGCACGACAGGUAUGAUUUCUGUUUGUUUUUGUAUAUUAAAAUAAUAAUAUCAAAAUCUAUAAUUUUGAUAAGUUUUUGACUAUUUUACUUUGUGGUUGUGAUUUUUUUAUGCAUAAUCAAUAAGUAAAAUAGAAAAAUUAUUAUGUAUGUAUACUUAUAUCUUUUUUCAUGAUCACGUUUGUAGGCUUCUUUUUCCAUCAUCCUCUAUGCCUAAGACGUCGUGUCCCUCCGAAGAUCAAUUAUGGUGAGCUUAGAAGGGUUACAACAAGAAAAAAAACCAUUGCACAUAAAAGGAAGAAUGGUGAUUCCAAAUUAGUUGCUCCCAAAAAAAUUAGAGUAAGAAAGAGUGGUGAAGUUCCUCCUGUUCUUGAAAAUUGGGAAGAUGACAUUAUUAGAGAAAGAGAAGGAGAUCAUUUUUGGGAAGAGGUUCAUGCCAGACAAGUUGACGAACAUCCCUCAAAGGCCGUUGGAUAUGAUUGGAAUCGUUUAUGCUCAGAAGCACCUCCUCAUAGAAGAAGUGGUAUUUCAAGACAAUCUAUUCUGAAGUUCAGGUUUGAACGUGGUGAGUUUCUCUUUUUUGCUACUAAGUUAGGCUCCAAUUCUCAAUUUGUUCAUGGUUGGGAUGAAUGGGUAACUAAGGUGUUGAAGAAUCCUUCUUCUGUUAAACUUCUCUCUUCUGCUGGGAUACUUGAUGCUAUACGUAUCACUUCCAAGCUCAAUAUUCGUAGAGAAAAAAGGAUAGAUGUGUGGCGUACUAUUCUUGGGAGGUGGAGCACGUUUUUUCAUGCUAUGAUUACUGCAUGGGGGGAAUUUACCUUCACUCUGGAAGAUGGAUGUGUUCUCUUGAAACUUCCUUGUAUAGGAAAGGAUGAUUUUCACUCUAUUAAGCGUUCUAAAGAAGAGGUAUGUACUCGAAACUUUUUCUUCGAUCUACUUAAGAGUUUGAGUAAAACUUCGAAGGUUGCACGAUUCUCUAAUUGGAUAGGGGUUUUUUUAUAUAAAGUUCAAUGCUAAAGGUAUUGAGAUCGGUUCUCCUGAGUACCUAGACCAUAAGUAUGAGCUAGUAGCUUUAACAAUGUUUUGGUUGGCACAACACGUACUCCCAAGGUAUCCAGAUGAUGAUAUCUCUUCACCAGUUGUUCCUUUAGCAAUAAAAAUUGUUAAGGGAAUACGUUUUCCUCUUGCUCCACUGUAUUUAGGCUCAUUAUAUAAGAGAUUAGACUUGUACCAACUCAAAACUGUUGAAUCAACUGGGCGUUACAAGGUUUUGACUUAUGUGGAUGUUUCCUUCAUUCAAAUGUGCCUAUGGGAAAGGUUUGGUACUUGCGCUCCUGUGCCUAAUGCAUAUCCUUUUGCAUCUUUUUCUGUGAAUAACCCUUUAUCCAGGAAUAACUACAGAGCUUGGGCAUGGCAUGAUCGACUCCCGAGAGGUAAUGUUCUUGAAGUGAUGGAUGUGACAAAAGAAUUCAAUCCCAAACCUUAUGUGCAGCCCACAAAUGGAUUCGGUGAUCCAGGAAUUUAUUAUGAUCACCACCCUCUACAAUCUGAAAGAAUGAGUUCACAAGGUAUUAACUUUUGUGUAUGGGUUCACAGUUCCCAAUUGUCAUCUAUGAUUGAGAGUUCCAGUUCAAGUGGAGAUAUAAAUAUUCUUUCUGUUGAGAUAUAUUCUCCUUUUAGAGUGGCACGCUAAUUUAGGUUUGAUCAACCAGCUCCGCCUGACUCUUCUUCAACUAUCAGUUUUUCUUCUUGCAUUUCUUCAUUCCUCAUGGUAAGACUUCAACUUCGUUUAGAUAAACUUAAGAGUUGUACUGUCCCAGCUUUUGAUAGAGUUGGUAUUCACACUUCUGAAUGGUUUGCUUAUUGGAUGGAGUGUGUUGAAGAAUGGAGAUAUUUUAUUAUGCCUUUGACUAAUCCCAGAGCUUGUCUCUACACUCCUCCUAUAAGUAACUUCGAUGUAUCCUUACGCUUAAUUUCUCUCAAAAAGAAAAGAAAUGUAAAUGAAGAAGAAGAUGAUGUUCAUCGCGUUCUUACUCAUCAAACAAAACAUGUGCAUCGAAAAGUAAGCUCAUCCUUUGCUUCUUCUUUUUUUACUUUUUUUUUAAAUUCAUUUCCUCAUCAUACUUUUUUUUUUUUGUAAAGAGAAACAAUUGCGAGAGUAAAAUUUAACUCGAUUGAAGAGGAAGAGACUUUUGAAGCUGAGAUUGAGGAAGAAUCAUGUGACUCUAAACGUAGUGAUGAAUCUGAUGAUGAAUUAGUUGAUGUUGAUAAAGCUGAAAAUGAGGGUGAGCUAGCCCCUUUUGAUGAUUUCCUUGAUUUGGAUGUUCUAUUUCCAAAUCAUGUUCAAAGCUCUACCAUGAACCAGGUAUAAACACAUCACUAUGUUAUUCCGAUUGAUGUUGUUCCAUUUUUUUUUUUAUGAAGUUAAGAUUAUUCUUACUCCUCAGGUUAUUCGAGAUGAGGUUGUUCCUGACACUGAGACUAUUCUUGCUGUUGAAGUUGUUCCUGAGGCUACUCCAAAUGUUGAGGUUAUUCAUGAUGUUAGAGUUGAUAGUGACGAUGUUAGAGCUAUUCCAAUGACUCCUCAUGCUUCUUCCUCCCUAGUGCUAGAACACAGAGAUGCAAGUAGUGCUUUUGGCAUUCAAGUAGCACAUACUCUUUUGUAAAAAACGUAGACGUCAUUUGUUUAUGAUGGAAGUGUUGGGUAGAGCUUUAGCCAUUUCCCAUGCUCCACUAAUGAGUACUUCACCAGAGGAAUUGCAACAGAUGUUACAGGAUUUCGAUGAUGCUUGUAACUUUGGAUUCAAGCUUGAGUGCCUCAGUGAUUGUCGAUCUAAAGCCAAGAUUUUUCUCAACAAGUCUUCCUUGGAGAAUGAGUUAAAAGAUAUUGCAGCGAAGAUAGCUUUACUGAAAAAACUUGAAGCUGAAGUACAAGAACAAUUAAAUAUAUUUGCCAAUAAUAACUCUUCUCUAUGGAGUAUGUAAUUGACUAGUCUUUUGCUUUUCCUUUGCUAUUUUUGAAAGCUCAUUUGAGCUAGUACUUCGCUAUUGAUAUAUCAUAUUUCUUUUUCUUUUGCAAUAAUAAUAAUACUAUACGCUUGUUGUGUAUGUGUUCACAUUUCAUAUUAUGUAUGUGGCCAAAAGGGACUCUCAACUUUACAUCAAGGAGAUUAACUUUAACUUGAUAUGAAGGAGAUUAAUUCAACCCUUAAAAUAAGUAAGCGUAAUAGCUGCGGCCAAUUUGUGAGUAAUAAGCUAGGGCCAAGAAAUGAGCUAUAAAGCUUGCGGCCAAUAGCAUAACAUCAUUACAGCCAAAUUAUGAGCGAUAAAGCUAGUGGCUGAAAUGUGAAUAAUAAAUUGUGGUCAAAGAAUAAGCGAUAAAGCUUGCGACCAAAAGAAGAAUAUCAUUGCAGCCAAAAUAUGAGUGGUAAAGCUUGCGGCUGAAGUAAGAAUGAUGAACUAUGGUAAAAGAAUAAGCGAUAAAGCUUGCUACCAAUAGUAUAAUAUAAUUACAGCCAAAAUAUAAGCGAUAAAGCUAGCGGUUGAAUAUGAAUUUUUUUUACUGUCAAAUUGCAAUUCAUAAAGCGAUGAAGAGUUAAAGUCAUAGAAAUAUCAUACAUGAGCAGAAAGCGGGUUGUUCUGGACCGUGUUGUUCUCAAUCAAUAACUAUUCUGCUUGCAUUUUCUUAUGGAAUAUUCCUUUCUGAAAAGGAUCUCUUCUUUCUCUACCUCUUCUUUAAAUUGCAUUCACUCUUGGAGUAUUCUUUCUAUCGAAGCAAGUAGCUCUCUUUUGUUUGAGAACCGUAUUAUUGGUUUUUCUUGCCAUUUCCAUUAAGGUAGCAAAAGUUGGAAGAGGUAAAUUCUGCUAGUGUAGCCUACACUCGUCAAACAUUUUUUUUGAAUGCAAAUCGUCACCAACUCCUUCUCAUCAUAAGACUCUUGUAUAUCCAACACCCUUUCUCUAAAGUGUUAGAUGUAUUCCAUGAGGUCUUAUCUGGACUUUUGAUAUUUUGUUCCCAAAUCAAAGAGAUUAACUUUCUCUUGAGUAAAGAAAAAGAACUCUUCCCUAAACAUCCACAUUAAUUGUAGUUUAUCCAUUUCCUUCAUUCCCCUUAGUGUUUGUAACUAGAGGAAUGACUUCAUCAGGUGCACUCUCAUUAAAGUGUACAGAUUGAGCUUGAAAAAUGGUGGAAGUGAAGGAUAAAAGUUGAGAUAUGGUCUCCAACAUCUGCCUAUUGUUGUCUUCUAACAUUUUCAUUCUCUCUUAAGAAGCCUCAAUCAUUUUCAUCAGCUUUUGGAUGUAGGUUGGAAUAGAUGCAUCUUGGUUACUAAAGGAACUGUCUAUUUCUUCCAAUAAUGCAAAGUUUUUCUAGUAAGCUUUUACUUAAUGCAAUCACUCCUCCCUAGUGGAGUCGCCAAAAUGUAAAGGGGGUUCUUGUGAUAGGGAGAGGAAGCGUUGCAAAUAAGUAAAAUGAUGUGCCAGAGGCGGCAGAGAAGAAGAUUGAAGCAAUUCUUGAAGUACUAAGUGCUGUGACAGGUGGAAGACAAUAAGAAGAUACUUAAAGAGACUUAGAGAGUACAAGAUAAUUAGAAAGAGAAUUUAGAGAGAGAAGCUCUCAAGUUGAGAAUGUGUUAGUUUGGAGGGGGAGAGAAGAGUCCUUCCAAAUGAAUUGUGAGGCUCUAUAUAUAGUGCUAAAAGUGACGGUUACAUAAGAAUAGGCUUUAAUGCGCUUAAUGAAUGACAUUAUUAUGAAAAAUAUUAAUGUAAGUAAUCGUUACUGUAAUUGGAUGUAGUAAGACUUGUUAUCAAGUAAAGGUAAUAGAAAAGAAGUGUACAAGAAUAGGUACAAGAGAAAAAGCUGUACGAGAAUAGGUACAAGGGAAUAAGCUGUACAUGAAUAAGUAUACGAGAAUAAGGUAAGAGGGUGAAACACUUGUCCUUCAGGAAAGGGUUAAGAGGAAGACCUCUUAAUUACCUCCAUAUCUGAGCCACCAAGCCAAACUCU